rnacentral:lncRNA from 1 species
CCAGAGAUCAAUUCUCACCAAACACACAGAAACUGAAUAACAAGAGUCUUACAUCCGUACAUACCGCCUGAUACAAUAAAUGGCCCUUGCUCUGUGGGGACCCCGACUUACGAGUCGAGAUCGCCGAAUGAACAUGCUUAGUGAUCCCAGAGAUCAAUUCUCAUCGAACACACAAAAACUGAAUAACAAGAAUCUUACAUCCAUACAUACCAGUUGAUACAAUAAAUGGCCCGGGCAGUCAAGUCUUACAUAUAUAGGGCCUUGAGGACCAACACACCCAACUUGAUCAAUGGAGGAAAUAUUGGUCGAAAGCGUGAACCCGUGCCAGCAUCCUUAACCUACAGGCAUUCUUACUGGGAAGUGUCCUAGCUCGCAGGGACGUCACCAAGUUACUCUUCACCAUAUCAUGCUCUCUCAUACCUGGUCAAUGAAAUAACCAGUGGCAAGCCAAUGAGUACUUUGAAUGUACUCAUAAACAGCCCAUGAUAUGGAUAAUGAAGUUGGUAUGGGAACAAGUAAUAUACAGUAUUGGUGGAUAGCAUCUUAACUGUAAUAAACAUGAUCAUAGAUGGAUGUACAUCAUAAGCUAGAUGCAUUUAGAAGAACAAGUCAUAGAUAUCAACAUAUCUAUUAAAUGUUGAACACUUCGGGUUCACCCGGUAUGCCAAAUCACCAAACUUGGUCAUAUCAACUCUUGAACACACACAUAAUCACACUUGCUUUACGUGGAAACGACUAGACGUAGUUUAAGCAGGAUUACCAGACUGUCCUUGACCGUGGACACUGCUAUUCGAAUAGUUUUACACUCUGCAUAGGUCGUACGCUGCACCCACAAGAUUCGGGAAACUUCCAUGUCAUCCACGACUCGUAGUAUAUAACAUACCCGAGAUAAGUACCCGAUCAAUGCCUUUCCCCUGACGAUACUAGACAUAGAGAUCCACUCGAUUGGUACACAUCCCACCUGAUGUACGUCUUCCGAGCACCAACUAUAGACAGUGUCAUCCAUGCGGGGACCAACGCUGUGCCCGGAACACGUAAAAACGACAUAGUCGCCCUACCUAGCAUGACCCCGUCACGAGAGUGACCACACAUCCCUCCCGCCACUAGUAAUGUGGAUCUUUGCUAGCAUCGACCAGAGUAAUCAACAAAACCUCGUCCCAUAAAGGGGUAACGGGGUCGCACAUGUAAGGUUGGGAUGAUCGACACAUCAUAAAUCUAUUCACAUUUCCGAAACCACUAACACCAAAAUACCCGGUGCACCACUUCUUCAAAAGUGUCCACCUAUCUCAUCAUCACCCUCGGGCAUUAGUGGCACCCGACGGGGUUUUCAUAAACCUUUGAUAUAUGCCAUCAUCAUGCUCAUGCUUCUACUAUGCUUCGCUCUACUUGUCAACAUGAUAUUAGCGUGACCCUCAUAGGUGGUAGGAUCAUGCUCAAAAUGCAAGUGCUCCAGAGGAGCCAUCGGAAACAUCGUAUCGAUGAUUUACCGAAUACUCACGAUCAUACGCAACGGGAAUAAUUGCUCUAUUAGCAUGCAAUAUAAUAUUUUCUCAAACAUGGUCAAAGGGCUGCUUGCCUUUGUUCUCGUAAGUCCUCGGGGUCUUCGAGGUCUUCCGGCCAACUCCGAGUAUUGUAUCUACCUGUCAACUAUCGUAGGAAACAAUCUCAGUAAGCCAUACAGCAAGCAGAGACCAAAGUGCUAAAUAAAUAGGAGUUUUAUUUUUCUUGGACCUCUCUGGUCAUAAGAAAAAUACCUAAAGCUUGCCAUAGGAGGUUUGGAUCGUUAGGAAAUUUUGACUGGAUGAAAGGAGGAAUAUGUGAUCCUUUAAUAAUCCUAUAUAAAAUAUUUUGGUAAAAAUAAGUGGAGGCACUCAUUAAACAGAGCAUGAUUUUAGAAAUAUUUAGGAAGUUGUUUCACUGGAUUUGUAGUUGAUAUGAAUAUACUAGGGAUUUUCUAAUAUUGGAUAAAUAGCAAAAUGGAGCUAUUUAUUUAUUGCAAGAGAAAUAUGCGAGCUAAAAAAUGUUGACCAUGGUUUCAAAAAUAGGGCAAGUUAUAGGAAGGAUCUAGAAAUUGGAAUGACUCCAAUUGGAGUUUAUUUGAAUGCUAUAGGAACUUACAAAGUGGGGCUUAAAGCAUACAAAUGGGCAUUUGAAUAUUAAUCCCACAUAAAUUCUUCUGGAAAAAUGUGCAAUGCACAUAAAUGGAUAGGUCUUGAUUUCAGGGACCUGCAGAAAUUUGAAUCAUCAAUUUUGGAGCUCAAAUGAUUAUUCUAUAGAUUUUUGAAAUUUCAAACAAAAACAAAAAGAAAAGAUGGGCUACCGGAGAGUCUAAAGCACGCUCAGGGCGUGAGGACGGAGCUGGGCCCCCUGGCAGC